CCACUCCUGAGCUUAGUGGGUUUCUAAGAAAAUAGAAUUGAAAGAAGAACUUGAAUCAGAAAUAAAAGGAAUUCUCUCACCACAUUUUUCAGGGACUCAAGAAAGCAAAAUUUCAUCAGAAUAGAUUUGAGAAAACAAUAUCCAAUCAGGUGGAUUUGAUUCACUUAUUCAUUUUAUAGUUGCAUUUUCAAAUUUGAAGAAUUUUGCAUUAUUCCUAGUUUUUAAUUUGGACUGAAUAUAGUCCUAAGAGAUCUGAAAAACAGAUAUAUUUUGAAGAUUGGCUUAUACAUUCAUAGGAAACCCAGGAAGUGAGUAGACACUAAAUCCUAGAGAUAAUGAAGUUUUCUAACUGAAACAGCUUGUUUUCUUAGUAAAUUCAGACUGACAAUGGAAAGCAAAAUAAACUGAAACGUCAGAAUUGAGAGAGCCGUCUAGAGAAUUCCAGCAUCCCACUUGUCAGCUGGUAGAGUCUAUUUGUGGCCGUGUUCCACGCCUGCAGGAGAAGAAAGCGGUGACCACACUCAAUCUAAAAUGGAGGAAUCCACAAUCAGCUAGAUCCAGUUACAAAUGAGAGAGCUGGUGGGAGCCACUGGGAGAUGCCUGAGCAGAACUAAGUUUAGAAGCUCUGAUGAAUGAAAGAUCCC
rnacentral:lncRNA from 1 species